CGUGCCCGUACCGUAAACCGACACAGGUGGAUGAGGAGAGAAUCCUAAGGCCGACGGAAGAAGCAUUGUUAAGGAAUUCGGCAAAAUGACCCCGUAACUUCGGGAGAAGGGGUGCCUGCGAGAGCAGGCCGCAGAGAAUAGGCUCAAGCAACUGUUUAGCAAAAACACAGGUCUAUGCGAAACCGAAAGGUGAAGUAUAUGGGCUGACGCCUGCCCGGUGCUGGAAGGUUAAGAGGAGAGGUUAGCGUAAGCGAAGCCUUGAAUUUAAGCCCCAGUAAACGGCGGCCGUAACUAUAACGGUCCUAAGGUAGCGAAAUUCCUUGUCGGGUAAGUUCCGACCCGCACGAAAGGCGUAAUGAUUUGAGCACUGUCUCGACAAUGCAUCCGGUGAAAUUGAAGUACCAGUGAAGAUGCUGGUUACCAGCGCCAGGACGGAAAGACCCCAUGGAGCUUUACUCCAGUUUGAUACUGGGAUUCGGUACUGCAUGUACAGGAUGGGUGGGAGACGAAGAAGGAUGGACGCCAGUCUGUCCGGAGUCGCUGUUGGGAUACCACCCCUGUAGUACUGGGUUUCUAACCAGUUGCCACGAACUGGCAAUGGGACAAUGUCAGGCGGGGAGUUUGACUGGGGCGGUCGCCUCCGAAAGGGUAUCGGAGGCGCUCAAAGGUUCCCUCAGAAUGGUUGGAAACCAUUUGAAGAGUGCAAAGGCAGAAGGGAGCUUGACUGCGACACCGACGGGUGGAGCAGGUACGAAAGUAGGACUUAGUGAUCCGGUGGUAUAAAGUGGGAUUGCCAUCUCUCAACGGAUAAAAGCUACCCUGGGAUAACAGGCUUAUCACUCCCAAGAGUUCACAUCGACGGAGUGGUUUGGCACCUCGAUGUCGGCUCAUCGCAUCCUGGGGCUGUAGCAGGUCCCAAGGGUUGGGCUGUUCGCCCAUUAAAGCGGUACGCGAGCUGGGUUCAGAACGUCGUGAGACAGUUCGGUCCCUAUCCGGCGCGGGCGGAGGAUAUUUGAGAGGAGCUGUCCUUAGUACGAGAGGACCGGGAUGGACGGACCACUGGUGUAUCUGUUGUCGACCAACGGCAUGGCAGAGUAGCCAAGUCUGGAAGGGAUAAACGCUGAAGGCAUCUAAGCGUGAAGCCCCCCUCAAGAUGAGAUAUCCCUCCUUCGGGAGUAAGACCCCUUGAAGACUACAAGGUAGAUAGGGCAGAGGUGGAAGCAUGGCAACAUGUGGAGCUGACUGUUACUAAUAGGUCGAGGGCUUAAUAAU
rnacentral:rRNA from 1 species